rnacentral:rRNA from 1 species
AGAGUUUGAUCCUGGCUCAGAACGAACGCUGGCGGCGCGCUUAACACAUGCAAGUCGAGCGGCUCACUUUCGGGUGGGCAGCGGCGGACGGGUGAGUAACGCGUGGGAACCUGCCCUGGAGUUCGGGACAACAGCUGGAAACGGCUGCUAACACCGGAUACGCCCCGUGAGGGGGAAAGUUCACGCUCUGGGAUGGGCCCGCGUACGAUUAGCUAGUUGGCGGGGUAAUGGCCCACCAAGGCUUCGAUCGUUAGCCGGUCUGAGAGGAUGAUCGGCCACACUGGGACUGAGACACGGCCCAGACUCCUACGGGAGGCAGCAGUGGGGAAUCUUGGACAAUGGGGGCAACCCUGAUCCAGCGACGCCGCGUGGGUGACGAAGGCCUUCGGGUUGUAAAGCCCUUUUCCUGGGGACGAUGAUGACGGUACCCGGGGAAUAAGCACCGGCUAACUCCGUGCCAGCAGCCGCGGUAAUAC